GAUGAAGAACGUAGCGAAAUGCGAUAAGUAAUGUGAAUUGCAGAAUUCAGUGAAUCAUCGAAUCUUUGAACGCACAUUGUGCCCGCCAGUAUUCUGGCGGGCAUGCCUGUUCGAGCGUCAUUACAACCCUCAAGCCCCCCGGCUUGGUGUUGGGGACCGGCCACCGGUGCCCUGCUGCUUCCGCGGCAGGCGCGCCCGGCCGCCCCCGAAAUGAAUUGGCGGCCCCGUCGCGGCCUCCCUCUGCGUAGUAGCACACAUCUCGCAGCUGGAGCGCGGCGCGGCCACUGCCGUAAAACGCACCAACUUUUUUUUACAGUUGACCUCGAAUCAGGUAGGAAUACCCGCUGAACUUAAGCAUAUCAAUAAGCGGAGGA
rnacentral:misc_RNA from 1 species